rnacentral:rRNA from 1 species
UACAGAGGUCUCAAGCGUUGUUCGGAUUCAUUGGGCGUAAAGGGUGCGUAGGCGGCGCGGUAAGUCGGGUGUGAAAUCUUGGAGCUUAACUCCGAAACUGCAUUCGAUACUGCCGUGCUUGAGGCUGGAGAGGAGACUGGAAUUUACGGUGUAGCGGUGAAAUGCGUAGAUAUCGUAAGGAAGACCAGUGGCGAAGGCGGGUCUCUGGACAGUUCCUGACGUGAGGCACGAAGGCCAGGGGGAGCAAACGGG